UGUAGUAUAAGUCAUGUAUGGUUGGAUUCCUGUAGAAGUAAGUGGUCUAGCAAUCUGUGGCCAGACUAUCCGAGUAGAUGACAUUAAUCAAUUAAAACUAUGAAGCUGGAUAUGCUUUAAAGGACUCUCUUACAGAAGCUAGUAGCUCCCACAUUCGAACCGCUCAUGGUAACCUGCAAUUAUGUUAUUUGUAGUUUUUCAUUUAGUUUCAAUGUAAAGUAAUAGUUGAAAAACAUACAAUUUGAUUUCAUCCAACUUACAGGUUUUACAGGUGAACAACAAUUAGCAACUCCCGAUCGAAUUGCACACAACAACCACCCACAAUCACAGCUGUAAAAAGUAACACGGAUAGGUAGCAAGGAAAUCAAGCUUGUACACAGAAAUCUACACAAAAACUGGGUUUUAUAAGCGCACGAAAAGCGACGCGGCUAUUUUUGAAUAAAAAGUAAACAAAAGAGUUUCGUUUUAAUUUAAUUUUGACAGCGGGUGUGGUGAUGGCUUGAGCGAUUUGGAACAAUCAUUCUCCGGACAGGAUUCGAUCCGAUCCGUGACGUCACUGAGCGCCGGUUCAUUUAAAGCUUCUUCUCUGAGUUCUGCUUAUACCAAGAAGCAAAGUUGAAGCAGAGAAGAAGCUGUGGCGGUUUCCAUACAAACUCUCUCUGAGAUUGUUGAAAGGGACGUGCUCGUCAGCCGACGAAAGAUCGCUCUCGCGGA